rnacentral:rRNA from 1 species
UCGAGAAUAUUCGACAAUGGACGAAAGUCUGAUCGAGCGACGCCGCGUGCGGGAAGAAGGCCUUCGGGUCGUAAACCGCGGUAGAUAGGUAACAAUGUAAAUGAGUGCCUAUCGGAAAGAGGUGGGUAACUACGUGCCAGCACCAGCGGUAAUACGUAGACCUCAAGCGUUAUCCGGAUUUAUUGGGCGUAAAGCGCGUGCAGGAGGCUUUGUGCGUCUGUGGUUAAAGCUCACCGCCUAACGGUGAAACUGCCAUGGAUACGGCGAAGCUGGAGGAGGUUAGAGGUGCAUGGAGCGCACGGUGUAGGGGUGAAAUCCGUUGAUAUCGUGCGAAACACCAAAGGCGAAGGCAGUGCACUGGGACCUUCCUGACUCUAAGACGCGAAAGCGUGGGGAGCAAAAAGG